rnacentral:rRNA from 1 species
UACGAAGGGGGCGAGCGUUGUUCGGAAUUACUGGGCGUAAAGGGCGCGUAGGCGGCCGAUCAAGUCAGAUGUGAAAGUCCUGGGCUUAACCUGGGGACUGCAUUUGAUACUGAUUGGCUUGAAUGCAGGAGAGGAUAGCGGGAUUCCCAGUGUAGAGGUGAAAUUCGUAGAUAUUGGGAAGAACACCGGUGGCGAAGGCGGCUAUCUGGACUGUGAUUGACGCUGAGGCGCGAAAGCGUGGGGAGCAAACAGG